rnacentral:lncRNA from 10 species
CCAAACUGCAGGGAUUACAGGUGUGAGCCACCGCACCCGGCCAAAGGUUAUUUUUUACACCUCUCUUUAUUGAACAGAAAUGUGACCUGUGAGACUGUUCAUAUUCCCCCAAGACAAUCCAUGUGCUUCCUUGAUACACACAUUAAAGACCAUACAAGAGAAAGUUUUAGUCAUCAUGAAAUCACGUCUAUAACAAAAGUAGGACACAGCAGGAUAAAACAUGACCUCAGGACAUCAAAACACUUUCCAGCUCUGAACCUACUAAACUUGACCCAACAGCAGUGGAAGAACUUUUGCCCAUUAGUGACUCUCCUGAACAGGUGACCCUGAGGCCUAGAGUUUGGUCUCUAACACUACUGACCUUCAAAGGAAACAGAGUACCUUGGGGAUAGCUGACUCCAUGACAUGGAGCAUGAAGAAAUCAAAAUGGGUAUGGAACAUCCUGUUGUUUUCGGAUAGCAUGGAUGCUUUUAUAGAAGCAUCAGAAUGAUGAAAGGACAUUCAGGUCAACAUAAAGGGACUCUGACCAAGCUGUGAGACUGAGCAUUAAAUAUAAGCACAAUGAGGCAGUUAUAACACAUAACAGUCUGUGAUAGAAGUUUAACAUUUUAGUAAGAAGGAUGUUUAUACAGGUUGAAUAUCCCUAAUCGAAAAAUCCCAAAUCCAAAACUUUGUGAGUACUGACCAUUUCAGAUAAGGGAUAUUCAAUAUGUAUUGGGUAUUUUAUUUCUUCUAAUAAUUAUGUCUGUUUAAAAUAUUUAGGUAUGUAGUUAUUUCUAUCUGGGUAAGUACCAAAGAAUAAACAUAUGGAAGUGGUAAUUUGGCCAAAUCUUGACAGAAGGUACUAAAAUGGAAAGUGGAUUGAUUAGCACAAAAUAAUAGGAUGCAUGGUGGGCACAAAUUA